CGUUUGUCCAACCUAACUGGGUGUGGGGGCCGGGUUCUUGGGCAGAUAGGGGACCUAUGCGCAGUUGGGGGCUAUGAAGGCCUAGGCCGUUGUCAUUUCUUCUCCCUCUACACUGUCUUCUGUUUCCUCCCAUCCGUUUUUUGACGCUUGCCAGAGCUCAAAGACGUGGCGACAUAGUCUGAGUAAUAGCUGAGAAUGAAGCCGGCUUCUCGUGUUCCUCACUCUUUAGAAAAGUGAAGACUGUGGACAACCUUGCUUCUUGCACAUGAGAAAACAGACCAGAUUCUCCGUCUGUUUAUGGUUUUCGAAGCUCCACGUCCUCAGAUUCCAGACGCCAGACGUCAACACCAGCUCCCCUCUUCCUUCCAUUCAAGUUAGCUCAGUGGUUCUCAAAUUUCAGCAUCCGAAUCACCUGGAUGCUGUUGAAACACAUUUCUGGGUCCCACCCACAGAACUUCUGAUUCUGUGCAUCUGGAUGAGGCCCAAAAGUUUUCAGUUCCAUCAUGUUACCAAGUGAUGAGGAUGUUACUAAUCAGCGGCCAUGCUUUGCUUAUAGAAGGGCUGUGCCUCUCUUUAAUCUCAGGAGUUUGGAAUGAAGAUCUCUUAUUUGUUGGCUUCAAAAUUUCAUAUGCAUACUUUCAAGUUUAUUAAGUGACAUGUUUGAAUCUUCCAGACCUUCUUUUCAUGUUGCUUCGUCCUGAUUGCUCUGCCAGUUCUUGAGAAAGGUUACCAGCUCAGGGAAUGGACUGUCCUGGAGACAGAAGCUGGAGUCUGGGAGCCUCAAGACCAAUGCACCCCAUCUCUCUGGAAAGUCUGGGAGAGGACACGAUCAUUCUAGCACCAGUUUACAAGCAUGCAAUUUCACGAAAAUAAUUUAGGAGAUUUCAUGAAACUGGUAUCUUUUUAGCAAAAUUCAAACGACAUGGCCUCAAACACAGAGAGAAAAAUACAAUAAAACAAUCUUUAAGGAAGAAAUUGAAAACUUUGCAAAAGAUGCCGAACGUCCAAUCCCUCAAAAAGCUAAGUCAAGGUUUUUUAAAAAAACUGCCGAACGCGUGGGUGAUGGCGGUUAAUCUUGGAAUAUCAGAGGACAAGACUACAUCCUCAAGGAAGAUUGGUGUCUUGUUUCGACAAGUAAACACAAACUUGUUAAAAUUUUAAGGGUAAAUAGGAAAGAAACAGAAACAGGUGGUGAGGCCUUCAACCCACUGAGGUGGGGAGGAAAAGAAUCCAUAAAAUGUGUUCUAUCCAGCAAACUUCGGAAAUGGAGGAGGAAGGAGGAAACAAGGGCCUCGUCAAGUUUCCUCAAGUUGGGUGUCAUUUCUCCCGUUUGGCACUGGGAUGUACGACCCUGGAGGGUUGCUCUACGUGAGGCUUGAGAAUGGAAGCAGACUCCAGCCUGAGUUCUUUUCAGGAGGAAGAUCUACCCUUUCUGCAGCUUGUCCAAGACGGUGAGACACGGGAGCUCCCACGCUCUGCCCUUGCCUGUGUGUUCUUCUCGGCGAUAAUGUCGUCCCAUGUGCGAUGCGGUGGCUCUGUGUCCCAUCCCACGGGAUGACUCAAGUAAAAUGAAAGCCACGAGCACUU